GCGUGCAUGCGCCCCUGCUAACAGCUACAGAUAAGGAUUUAUUUCUUGGAAGCAACAAAUAAGAUUGAGCGGAAGGGACAGAAUGAAUAUCCAACCCUCUUUUACCUCGAGUUCCAAUUGUUUACGUCGGACAACAAUUCCCAACUCAUUAUUUGGACUUUUGUUUCAAAUAGAAUUGUCACAAAAACAUAAUGACCUAUUCAGACUAAAAAAGCUCUAGGUUUUACCAUGAGCAACUGUCUGAAGAUAUCUCGCAAAAGGUUACAUGCACCCGGUGGCGGGGGUAGGAUUUUUGCUAAGCGGGUUCAAAAAAGAAAAAGGUUAAAAACAAUUGUAGCUAGUGAAAAUUAAAUCAAUGACCUUACAAAGGUUUUGAACCCCUUGACAACUAAGCCUUUUGGGUUGCAUCAAGGGGAUUCAAAACAUAUAGAGGUAAAAAAAAAAAUUGCCUUAUAUAUACAAUGUAAGUUUCGGUGAAGGGGUUUUGGUGAACCCCUUCCCCCCCCCCCCCUAAAUCCGCCCCUGCAUGAACCUCGACUCUUAGAUAUGGAAGACAUGUUUGAAGUCUACGAAAAUCAAAUUGAUCUACAAGAUAAAGCUGAAGAAAGAAACAACAAAGACGAUCUCAGUUUCCUCAAGAGAUCUGAACAAUAACAACAGGCACCUAUCAUUUUUAAUGUCUUCCUUGCAUUCUUCAAAUUUACAUUAAAACAAGUUUUCGGUCCAUCUCCUAGAACGGUUCCACAUAAAGAGAGAUUUUAUAAAAUCAGCCUAAGCUCAAAACCUUCACCAACAUAUAGUCGUGAAAUGUAUUUCCUACAUGUUGGCUUCUUCUCCUGUCUCCUCUUUCUACCCAAUUUUAGGUCUUAACAUGAUAGACCAAAGACGUUGAAGAGAUAAUAGUGUAAGGCGAUCAUUAUCAUGAGCCAAGGGUGCAACUUGUCUAUUCUAAUUCUCAAAGAAUUCCUGAUUAGACACUCAACCAAUUGCCAAUGCCUCACCUCAGGCUUUAGGCAUUGGAGGUGCUGAACAACCACAAAGACAAGGUACUCUCCACAUACACCCUGGAACAAUUUUAAUUCAUCUGCCAGAGGUGCAAUACAAGCCUAUGGCCUAUUUUUCACUCGAAGGAGUCUUUAUAACACCAAAAUAGAUCAGUUCGUAUCAACCUUCUGGAAUUGCUUUAACUCAAGAACUAGAAAGUUAUGCAAAGCCAUGUUGAACAUGGAAUUCACACACACACGCAGAGACAAAAAAAAAACCACAUAGAGACUGCAUUAACAAUCAAUCGACCAGAUUUGUGACGAAAAAUCAAGCAGGAAAGCAACACAUAAAAGAAGAAAAUCAUGACUCAAAUUAGUGAGUACUUAUUAUAUUGCAAAACACAAAUUCUUAUUG
rnacentral:lncRNA from 1 species